ensembl:snRNA U6 U6 spliceosomal RNA
GUGCUCACAUUGGCAGUACAUACACUAAAGCAGAAAGGAUACAGAGAAGAUUAUUAGCAAGGCCCUGUGCAGGGAUGACACGUAAAGUAUACACUUCAUUGUUUUUU